rnacentral:rRNA from 1 species
GAUGAACGCUGGCGGCGUGCCUAAUACAUGCAAGUCGAGCGAACAGAUGAGGAGCUUGCUCCUCUGACGUUAGCGGCGGACGGGUGAGUAACACGUGGAUAACCUACCUAUAAGACUGGGAUAACUUCGGGAAACCGGAGCUAAUACCGGAUAAUAUAUUGAACCGCAUGGUUCAAUAGUGAAAGACGGUUUUGCUGUCACUUAUAGAUGGAUCCGCGCCGCAUUAGCUAGUUGGUAAGGUAACGGCUUACCAAGGCAACGAUGCGUAGCCGACCUGAGAGGGUGAUCGGCCACACUGGAACUGGGACACGGUCCAGACUCCUACGGGAGGCAGCAGUAGGGAAUCUUCCGCAAUGGGCGAAAGCCUGACGGAGCAACGCCGGGUGAGGGAUGAAGGUCUUCGGAUCGUAAAACUCUGUUAUUAGGGAAAAACAAAUGUGUAAGUAACUAUGCCCGUCUUGACGGUACCUAAUCAAAAAGCCACGGCUAACUACGU